AGAAUCUUCGGCAAUGGACGAAAGUCUGACCGAGCAACGCCGCGUGAGUGAAGAAGGUUUUCGGAUCGUAAAACUCUGUUGGUAGAGAAGAACGUUGGUGAGAGUGGAAAGCUCAUCAAGUGACGGUAACUACCCAGAAAGGGACGGCUAACUACGUGCCAG
rnacentral:rRNA from 1 species